UCCAGACUCCUACGGGAGGCAGCAGUGGGGAAUAUUGCACAAUGGGGGGAACCCUGAUGCAGCAACGCCGCGUGGGUGAAGAAGUACUUCGGUAUGUAAAGCCCUGUCAGCAGGGAAGAAAAUGACGGUACCUGACCAAGAAGCCCCGGCUAACUACGUGCCAGCAGCCGCGGUAAUACGUAGGGGGCAAGCGUUAUCCGGAUUUACUGGGUGUAAAGGGAGCGUAGACGGCAAGGCAAGUCUGGAGUGAAAGCCCGUGGCUCAACCACGGGACUGCUUUGGAAACUGUGUUGCUGGAGUGCAGGAGGGGUAAGCGGAAUUCCUAGUGUAGCGGUGAAAUGCAUAGAUAUCACGCAGAACUCCGAUUGCGAAGGCAGCGCACCGGCGCCCUACUGACGCUCAGGCACGAAAGCGUGGGUAUCGAACAGGAUUAGAUACCCCGGUAGUA
rnacentral:rRNA from 1 species